rnacentral:rRNA from 1 species
UUCCAGUAUCCAGUAGUGGGUAUUCAGUUACUUACUAUUGUGUGUUGGUCGUUUACUGUGAGAAAAUUAGAGUGUUCAAAGCAGGCGUUUGCUUGAAUAGAUUAGCAUGGAAUAAUAAUUGAAGGCUUUCGUGUUCGAUUUGAUUGGUUUGUUCAUGGAAGCAAGGUUAAAAGGAACAGUUGGGGGUAUUCAUAUUCACUAGUUAGAGGUGAAAUUCUCGGAUUUAUGGAAGAUGAACAAGUGCGAAAGCAUUUACCAAGGAUGUUUUCAUUAAUCAAGAACGAAAGCUAGGGGAUCGAAGAGGAUUAGAUACCCUCGUAGUCUUAGCUAUAAACGAUACCGACUAGGGGUUAGUAGAGGUCAAAGUGUCUUUUAUUAGUACCUUAUGAGAAAUCAAAGUCUUUGGGUUCCGGGGGGGAGUAUGGUCGCAAGGCUGAAACUUAAAGGAAUUGACGGAAGGGCACCCACCCAGGAGUGGAGCCUGCGGCUUAAUUUGACUCAACACGGGGAAACUUUACCAGGUCCAAGACAUAGAAAGAGGAGAUUUGAAAAUUU